UACGUAGGGGGCAAGCGUUGUCCGGAUUUAUUGGGCGUAAAGGGCGCGUAGGCGGCCACGCACGUCCGUUGUGAAAUCGCUCGGCUCAACUGGGCGGGGUCAGCGGAUACGGCGUGGCUAGAGCAAGCUAGGGGGCAAUGGAAUUCCCGGUGUAGUGGUGGAAUGCGUAGAUAUCGGGAAGAACACCAGUGGCGAAGGCGGUUGCCUGGAGCUUUGCUGACGCUGAUGCGCGAAAGCGUGGGUAGCGAACAGG
rnacentral:rRNA from 1 species